rnacentral:rRNA from 1 species
CGCGAAUUCGCCCUUCGGGGUGCAGCAGGCGCGAAAACUUUGCAAUGCGGGAAACCGUGACAAGGGAACUCUGAGUGCCCGUUAAAUCGGGCUGUCCAUCGGUUUAAAUAACCGGUGAAGAAAGGGCCGGGCAAGACCGGUGCCAGCCGCCGCGGUAAUACCGGCGGCUCGAGUGGUGGCCACUAUUACUGGGCUUAAAGCGUUCGUAGCUGGUUUGUUAAGUCUCUGGGGAAAUCUUCCGGCUUAACCGGAAGGCGUCUCAGGGAUACUGGCAGACUAGGGACCGGGAGAGGUGAGAGGUACUCCAGGGGUAGGAGUGAAAUCCUGUAAUCCUUGGGGGACCACCUGUGGCGAAGGCGUCUCACCAGAACGGCUCCAACAGUGAGGGACGAAAGCUGGGGGAGCAAACCGGAUUAGAUACCCGGGUAGUCCCAGCUGUAAACGAUGCGCGUUAGGUGUAUCGGUGACCACGAGUCACCGAGGUGCCGAAGAGAAAUCGUGAAACGUGCCGCCUGGGAAGUACGGUCGCAAGGCUGAAACUUAAAGGAAUUGGCGGGGGAGCAC